rnacentral:sRNA from 1 species
AAUGUUAGCAGGUAGGUGUGUAUUGAUGCCGUGGGUUGCCCGCCCCAUGACAUGACGUGGCAUACUUUCAGGUUCCGUCUGGCGCUUUUGGAUGCUUCGCGGUUUGGCAUUGUUAAGAGUCCCCCGGAUGGGCCGUGUGCGUGGUUUUUCACGGGAGCUUGAUAGUCUCGUGUGAGCGAUUUUGCGGGCUGUUUGUGGUGAGCUCGGGCUAAAUGGCUGAGUGAGUGAGUGAGUGAGUGAGUGAGUGAGAAAGUAUGUGAAUAAAUGAGGUCUGCGUCCGCCUUGGCAGGCUCACUGAGACAAUAUACCUUGUUUAUGUUUGUGUGGUAGCUAGCGCUUGUCGCGUAGGGAGGUAUCAUGAUUGAUGGUAUCGCCAUCUCCAGGAGGAUUCGCUGGUUGGGGAUUCCGAGGUGGACCAUUUCGUUUGGGGGGGAGG